GUUGGUCAAUGGUUGGUUUUAGUUUGUUGAUGGAGUUGCUGCUGAUGGCAUUCUCUAUGAUAGUGCAUGCUAGUUGUCAACUUGGACAUGAUGGGCAGUCCCAUGGAUGAUUGGAGGCUCGUCUAGUGGUAGGAAGAGGUGUCAUUGGUGGUUGCGGUGAUGGAGGUAGUAGAGCCAAAAGCAGGUUAUAAGAUAUAGCCACAAGAUGAUCUCUGGAGUGUUGGAUGACUAGGAUUGAAAGUAUGACGUGCUAGUGGUGGUCAAUGAAAACUCAAGUUUGGUUUUUGAUAAUUGAUGAAACCUAAGGACUAAUCAUUAUGCUAAGUGUGUAGAUGUGAAGUGAUAAGUCCCAUACCAAGUGGUGGAGCUAAAUAUGAUCAUGGUGUUGAUGGUGAUGACCACAAGAUGAUCAAGCACUCAACUUGAAAAAAAAAGAGAAAAACAAAAUCCUAUAGAGAUCAAGGCAAAGG
rnacentral:lncRNA from 1 species